CAGCAGCCGCGGUAACACGUAGGGCGCGAGCGUUGUCCGGAAUUAUUGGGCGUAAAGAGCUCGUAGGCGGCUGGUCGCGUCUGUCGUGAAAUCCUCUGGCUUAACUGGGGGCUUGCGGUGGGUACGGGCCGGCUUAAGUGCGGUAGGGGAGACUGGAACUCCUGGUGUAGCGGUGGAAUGCGCAGAUAUCAGGAAGAACACCGGUGGCGAAGGCGGGUCUCUGGGCCGUUACUGACGCUGAGGAGCGAAAGCGUGGGGAGCGAACAGGAUUAGAUACCCCUGUAGUCCCUGUCUCUUAUAC
rnacentral:rRNA from 1 species